rnacentral:rRNA from 1 species
UCUCCUACGGGAGGCAGCAGUGGGGAAUAUUGCACAAUGGGGGAAACCCUGAUGCAGCAACGCCGCGUGAGUGAAGAAGUAUUUCGGUAUGUAAAGCUCUCUCAGCAGGGAAGACGAUGACGGUACCUGAUUAAGAAGCCCCGGCUAACUACGUGCCAGCAGCCGCGGAAAUACGUAGGGGGCAAGCGUUAUCCGGAUUUACUGGGAGUAAAGGGAGCGCAGACGGCAGCGCAAGUCUGGAGUGAAAGCCCGAGGCCCAACCCCGGAACUGCCCUGGAAACUGUGCGGCCAGAGUACUGAAGGGG